rnacentral:rRNA from 1 species
UACGGGGGGGGUAAGCGUUGUUCGGAAUUACUGGGCUUAAAGGGUGCGUAGGCGGCGCGGAAAGUAGGGUGUGAAAUCCCUCGGCUCAACCGAGGAAUUGCGCCCUAAACUACCGUGCUCGAGGGAGAUAGAGGUGAGCGGAACUUAGGGUGGAGCGGUGAAAUGCGUUGAUAUCCUAAGGAACACCGGUGGCGAAAGCGGCUCACUGGAUCUCUUCUGACGCUGAGGCACGAAAGCUAGGGUAGCGAACGGG